GAUGAACGCUGGCGGCGUGCUUAACACAUGCAGGUCGAACGGAAAGGCCCAAGCUUGCUUGGGUACUCGAGUGGCGAACGGGUGAGUAACAAGUGGGUGAUCUGCCCUGCACUUCGGGAUAAGCCUGGGAAACUGGGUCUAAUACCGGAUAGGACCACUUCUUGGAUGUUGUGGUGGAAAGUUUUUUCGGUGUGGGAUGAGCUCGCGGCCUAUCAGCUUGUUGGUGGGGUAAUGGCCUACCAAGGCGUCGACGGGUAGCCGGCCUGAGAGGGUGUACGGCCACAUUGGGACUGAGAUACGGCCCAGACUCCUACGGGAGGCAGCAGUGGGGAAUAUUGCACAAUGGGCGCAAGCCUGAUGCAGCGACGCCGCGGGGGGGAAGACGGCCUUCGGGUUGUAAAAUCCUUUCGCUAGGGACGAAGCGUUUUGUGACGGUACCUGGAGAAGAAGCACCGGCUAACUACGUG
rnacentral:rRNA from 1 species